ACCUGUGGCAUGAAGGAAGCAAUGAGUAUCAGGAGCUCCUGAGAGGUGGCUUGGGAUCUGGAAGAGAGCACAGAAACAGUAACACAGUUCAAGGAGGAGUGAGACUCUGCUGACGUCCUUUGGCUUCCUGUUCAGUGAGGCUGUGCUCGGCAUCCUCGGAUUUAGGCACCAUGUGAAUUUUCUUAGACUUCACCCUCCAGACCUCAUUUUGUUUCAUCAGCCCUUCCCUCCCUGUGAGUAAUUGUGAUCACAUCAUGUGGUGGCUGCGGGGAAGGAAGGUCCCUUCGGCUGCAGCCCUUUCGGUGGCAGCACGUGGGUGAGAUCAGAAAUUUGGUGUCUCUUCCUUCCCUAUGGAUCCCAGUGCUGAGAAGCCAGCAGCAGUCAAGAGAAGUCACAUUGUUUGUGUGUUGGUGGUUUUCUUAUGAAUGCCGGAAUUACC